rnacentral:rRNA from 1 species
UACGUAGGGGGCAAGCGUUGUCCGGAUUUAUUGGGCGUAAAGAGCGUGUAGGCGGCCUGGCAGGUCCGUUGUGAAAACUCGAGGCUCAACCUCGAGACGCCGAUGGAAACCACCUGGCUAGAGUCCGGAAGAGGAGAGUGGAAUUCCUGGUGUAGCGGUGAAAUGCGCAGAUAUCAGGAAGAACACCCGUGGCUAAGGCGGCUCUCUAGUACGGUACUGACGCUGAGACGCGAAAGCGUGGGGAGCGAACAGG